rnacentral:rRNA from 1 species
UGGGGAAUCUUCCGCAAUGGACGAAAGUCUGACGGAGCAACGCCGCGUGUAUGAUGAAGGUCUUCGGAUUGUAAAGUACUGUCAUUGGGGAAGAACGGUUUUCUUGAAAAGAUUGAGAAGACAUGACGGUACCCAAGGAGGAAGCCCCGGCUAACUACGUGCCAGCAGCCGCGGUAAUACGUAGGGGGCAAGCGUUGUCCGGAAUUAUUGGGCGUAAGGGGCGCGUAGGCGGGCCUUUAAGUCCGGUGUGAAAGAUCAGGGCUCAACCCUGAGAGUGCAUCGGAAACUGGAGGCCUUGAGGACAGGAGAGGAAAGUGGAAUUCCACGUGUAGCGGUGAAAUGCGUAGAUAUGUGGAGGAACACCAGUGGCGAAGGCGACUUUCUGGACUGUAACUGACGCUGAGGCGCGAAAGCGUGGGGAGCAAACAGGAUUAGAUACCCUGGUAGUCCACGCCGUAAACGAUGAGUGCUAGGUGUAGAGGGUAUCGACCCCGUUCUGUGCCGCAGUUAACACAAU